rnacentral:rRNA from 1 species
CCUACGGGAGGCUGCAGUGAGGAAUAUUGGUCAAUGGGCGCGAGCCUGAACCAGCCAAGUCGCGUGAGGGAAGACGGUCCUAUGGAUUGUAAACCUCUUUUGUCGGGGAGCAAAAGACGCCACGUGUGGCGUUCCGAGAGUACCCGAAGAAAAAGCAUCGGCUAACUCCGUGCCAGCAGCCGCGGUAAUACGGAGGAUGCGAGCGUUAUCCGGAUUUAUUGGGUUUAAAGGGUGCGCAGGCGGAAGAUGAAGUCAGCGGUAAAAUUGAGAGGCUCAACCUCUUCGAGCCGUUGAAACUGGUUUUCUUGAGUGGGCGAGAAGUAUGCGGAAUGCGUGGUGUAGCGGUGAAAUGCAUAGAUAUCACGCAGAACUCCGAUUGCGAAGGCAGCAUGCCGGCGCUCAACUGACGCUGAUGCACGAAAGUGUGGGUAUCGAACAGGAUUAGAUACCCCGGUAGUC